rnacentral:lncRNA from 1 species
AUUAGAUCAUUACUAUAAUAUUAAAUUUUUUAGAUCUGAAUCUUAAUCAUAUCAUCACAUGCAUCAUUAAUUUCAGAUCUACAAAAAUAAAGAAAUCUACUCAAAAUAUAUGCAUGAUUGCAUAGAAAAAUUCUGGUUUGAAUAUGAUCAAAUAUAUGCAGAUACUUUGCUCAUUUCAGAUCUAAAACUCUAUCAAACAGAUUUAGAUCUG